rnacentral:rRNA from 1 species
AUUGAACGCUGGCGGCAUGCCUUACACAUGCAAGUCGAACGGCAGCACGGGUGCUUGCACCUGGUGGCGAGUAGCGAACGGGUGAGUAAUAUAUCGGAACGUACCUUAUUGUGGGGGAUAACGCAGCGAAAGCUGUGCUAAUACCGCAUAAUCCCUAAGGGGGAAAGCGGGGGACCGUAAGGCCUCGCACAAUUAGAGCGGCCGAUACCUGAUUAGCUAGUUGGUGAGGUAAAGGCUCACCAAGGCAACGAUCAGUAGCUGGUCUGAGAGGACGAUCAGCCACACGGGGACUGAGACACGGCCCAGGCUCCUACGGGAGGCAGCAGUGGGGAAUUUUGGACAAUGGGGGCAACCCUGAUCCAGCAAUGCCGCGUGAGUGAAGAAGGCCUUCGGGUUGUAAAGCUCUUUUGUCAGGGUAGAAACAGCAGCUCUAACACAGUUUGCGAAUGACGGUACCUGAAGAAUAAGCACCGGCUAACUACGUGCCAGCCGCCGCGGUAA